UACGUAGGGUGCGGGCGUAAUCGGAAUUACUGGGCGUAAAGUGUGCGCAGGCGGCCGCGCAAGUCGAGUGUGAAAGCCCCGGGCUUAACUUGGGAAUUGCGCUCGAAACUACGUGGCUGGAGUGUGGCAGAGGAAGGUGGAAUUCCCAGUGUAGCGGUGAAAUGCGUAGAUAUUGGGAAGGAACACCAGUGGCGAAGGCGGGCUCACUGGACC
rnacentral:rRNA from 1 species